rnacentral:lncRNA from 1 species
AUGGGGCUGAUGCAAAUCCGGCAUGGUCUCCACGUGUGCUCUGAGCUCUCUUUUUGGGAUGUGCGUCCACUGAGCAGCCUGGUCAGCUGCCUUCUCUCACAGGGCUCCUUGGUCUCACCUUGUAGUGGAGUGUGCUGUUGCAGGGUAACAUCUGGACUGAGCUCCUGGACCCUUGGAUGCUCGGCUGCAAGUUCCUGGAUCGACUUGGAGAAAACACCCUCCUCUGGCACACCCUCCUCCAGGAGCCAUGGAGAUGGCAACUGUGACUCCAGACACGGCCUUCCUGACCCCAACUGUCUUACAGUCGGGGACCUGCUGAAUGUGCCUCCUGAGAGCUGCUCUUUUCUACCAUCAGAGCCCAACUUAUGGGCUCACAAGCUUCCUGAAGUGGCUAAACAGAUAACCUCCACAGUUUCCAUCUUAAAUGCACGGAAAAUAUGGAAUCCUGACAAUUUCAGGACAGAACGAGUCCCAAGUGUCAAUUUCAGAGUUCAAAAGCCAGAGAAGAAAGCUGCAUCUUCUCCCCCGGAUGUGCAGUUAACUUUGACUCUGGCAGAGAUGGUAUUUUGACUGGGAGCACCCGGAGACCUCGCCCUGAACACAGCAAGGCUUAACUCGCAGUUCCUGGGCCAGCUUUUAUCUGGGGGUUCUAAUCCAGAACUGAUGCCAGCUUCUUUUUCUCAAAGGCAAAAGUGUGGUUUUUUGAUGAUAAAAUACAAAAUGAUCAUUACUGGAAGUGUUAUAAUAAUAGAAGAAUAAGCUUAAUAUUCUAACCGAACCCAGCCGCAUUUAGAAUAAGCAAUAUUCUAACCGAACCCAGCCGUUUAGAAUAAGCUUAAGAUUCUAACCGAACCCAGCAUUUAGAAUAAGCUUAAGAUUCUAACCGAACCAGCCGCAUUUAGAAUAAGCUUAAGAUUCUAACGAACCCAGCCGCAUUUAGAAUAAGCUUAAUACUCUAACCGAACCCAG